rnacentral:rRNA from 1 species
GACGAACGCUGGCGGCGUGCCUAAUACAUGCAAGUAGAACGCUGAAGGGGGAGCUUGCUCUUCUGGAUGAGUUGCGAACGGGUGAGUAACGCGUAGGUAACCUGCCUGGUAGCGGGGGAUAACUAUUGGAAACGAUAGCUAAUACCGCAUAACAGUAGAUGUUGCAUGACAUUUACUUAAAAGGUGCAAUUGCAUCACUACCAGAUGGACCUGCGUUGUAUUAGCUAGUUGGUGGGGUAACGGCUCACCAAGGCGACGAUACAUAGCCGACCUGAGAGGGUGAUCGGCCACACUGGGACUGAGACACGGCCCAGACUCCUACGGGAGGCAGCAGUAGGGAAUCUUCGGCAAUGGACGGAAGUCUGACCGAGCAACGCCGCGUGAGCGAAGAAGGUUUUCGGAUCGUAAAGCUCUGUUGUAAGAGAAGAACGAGUGUGAGAGUGGAAGGUUCACACUGUGACGGUAUCUUACCAGAAAGGGACGGCUAACUACGUG